GUAGGCAGCCUCUUUUUACUCUUUUCUCCAACCUCCCUCCCUAUUCCUCAACCUCUUUCUCCUUUCAUUCUUGGUGCCACACUUCAAUCUCUUCCUUCUCUUAAUUUCAAUUCCCUUCAUUUUCUGGUAGAGACAAAGGAGACACAUUUUAUCCGUGGACCCAAAACUCCAGCACCGGUCACGGACUGGGAAGGCAGCCUUCCCUUGGUGUUUAAUCAUUUCAGGGACGCCUCUCUGAUUAUUCACCCACGUUUCAAAGGUGUCAGACCACACAAGGAGGCCUGCCUUGGUCCUUCAGCCUUAGCGGCAAGUCCCGCUUUUCUGGGGGAGGGACAAGUACUCCAACCCCUUCUCUCUGUGUCUCUACCCCUUCUCUGAUCUUCUGGGGCAGGGGCAAGAACCCCUCAACCCCUUCUCCUUCACCGUUAGCGGCAAGUCCCGCUUUUCUAGGGGGCAAGAACCCCCAAUCCCUUAUUUCCGUGCCCCAACCCUUUCUCUGCUUUUCUGGAGGGCAAGAAAUCCCCACCCCUUCUCCGUGUCUCUACUCUUUUCUCUGGGCUUGCCUCCUUCACUAUGGGAAACCUUCCACCCUCCAUUCCUCCUCCUUCUCCCUUAGCCUGUAUUCUUAAGAACUUAAAACCUCUUCAACUCACACCUGACCUAAAAUCUAAGCAUCUUAUUUUCUUCUGCAAUGCUGCUUGACCCCAAUACAAACUCGACAGUAGUUCCAAAUAGCCAAAAAACGGCACUUUCAAUGUUUCCAUCCUACAAGAUCUAAAUAAUUCUUGUCGUAAAAUAGGCAAAUGAUCUGAGGUGCCUGACGUCCAGGCAUUCUUUUACACAUCAGUACCUUCCUAGUCUCUGUGCCCAGUGCAACUCGUCCCAAGUCUUCCUUCUUUCCCUCCCACCUGUCCCCUCAGUCCCAAUCCCAAGCGUCGCUGAGUCUUUCUAAUCUUCCUUUUCUACAGACCCAUCUGACCUCUCGCCUCCUCGCCAGGCCAAGCUAGUUCCCAAUUCUUCCUCAGCCUCCGCUCCUCCACCCUAUAAUCUUUUUAUCGCCUCCCCUCCUCACACCUGGUCUGGCUUACAGUUUCGUUCUGUGACUAGCCCUCCACCACCUGCCCAGCAAUUUACUCUUAAAAAGGUUGCUGGAGCCAAAGGCAUAGUCAAGAUUAAUGCUCCUUUUUCUUUAUCCCAAAUCAGAAGUGUUUAGGCUCUUUUUCAUCAAAUAUAAAAACCCAGCCCAGUUCAUGGCUUGUUCGGCAGCAACCCUGAGACACUUUACAGCCCUAGACCAUAAGAGGUCGAAAGGCCAUCUUAUUCUCAAUAUACAUUUUAUUACCCAAUCUGCUCCCCACAUUAAACUCCAAAAAUUGGAAUCUGGCCCUCAAACCCCACAACAGGACUUAAUUAACCUCACCUUCAAGGUGUACAAUAAUAAAAAAAAAGUUGCAAUUCCUUGCCUCCACUGAGAGACAAACCCCAGCCACAUCUCCAGCACACAAGAACUUCCAAACGCCUGAACCGCAGCAGCCAGGCAUUCCUCCAGAACCUCCUCCCCCAGGAGCUUGCUACACAUGCCGGAAAUCUGGCCACUGGGCCAAGGAAUGCCCACAGCCCGGGAUUCCUCCUAAGCCACGUCCCAUCUGUGUGGGACCCCGUUGAAAAUCGGAUUGUUCAACUCACCUGGCAGCCACUCCCAAAGCCCCUGGAACUCUGGCCCAAGGCUCUCUGACUGACUCCUUCCCAGAUCUUCUCCACUGAAUGGCUGAAGACUGAUGCUGCCCGAUCGCCUUGGAAGCCCCAUAGACCAUCACGGACGCUGAGCUUAGGUAACUCUCACAGUGGAGGUUAAACCCAUAAACCAUACCCAGAAUAUUUUAUCAACAAGGCAUCCUGAAUAAUUCAUACUGGAUAAUAAAAGGCGCAUCUGAACUAAUUCACAGAGGACCUGGUUGGAGGCCUGGAGAAAAUCGGCAGUCUCACAUGUAAACUUCCAGUUUAUUGGGAUGAGCUAAAAGAGUGUAUUCUCGACAAAGUCUAGCAGGCUCAGCAAUGUGGGUUGCGUGUGGCUUCUCAGGACUCCUAGGUCCUCCUGGGCACACAUGCUUUGCUGGUGGCAAUGGCACUCCUCCUGUCCAAGGAGUUCUGCCACAUCCCCCUCCCGAGAAGGAGCUUGCCUUGCUUCUUUCAACCAUGUCACUUGGAACUCCAGCCUUUAGCAAGCCAUAGCAACUGGGAUCAAAGGAUUUAGAUAUCAGGUAAUAUUUAAGACGUAGAAGCAGAAGACAAUGCUACAAUGUAGGACAAUAAAAAUACUAUUUCAAAUGUGUCAUCUCUAUACUGGCCCCAAAAGAGGAAUGGUACGUUUAACGGAAGAGAAUUAUAUUACAAAUCAUGCUUAAAUAAUAAAAGCCAUCAUUUAAGAAAGAGUCUCCUCCAGAACUGUACUUAAAAUAAUUUAUUUGGGAUGCAAAAGUACUUUCAAUUGUCUCUAUUCAUCUUUACGGUCCUACCUUCAAGAGCUAGUUACAAAUCUCAUUCUGCAUUUUGUCAGCUACUUGAACCCAGCUCUCUCAUUUAUGAACUUGAACUUCAAUUCUAUAUUGUCAGAAUAGUGCAUUAUUACAGUGUUAGGAGUGUAUGUCUAUUUUAAUGGAAACUAUAUUUAUGAUUUCAAAUGAAAU
rnacentral:lncRNA from 1 species